AUUCAUAAGUUGAGUUUAAAAAUGCGUAUGUAACCAGAUCGGGCGAAUACGUUGCUAGCGCGCCAGUAGCUUACCGUUCGCACGCUGCGUAUUGCAAACCCAGUGGCGGAUGUGCCCAGUAAGCCCGACCUAAUGCGACCAGAUAUCAGGGGCGGCAGUCUAUAAGAUAGGUGUUGAGAAAGGGGUGGCUCUAGUACUUCCUACAGAGUACCGGCCUGGCCACGACAUUGCGCGACUGGCUUCGGCUAAGGCGAAAAGCAUAGGUGGGAACGAGAGGUCCGAACGCUGUGUCUCGCUCCAACCUAUGGUUGUCGCCUUAGCUGAAGCCAGUCGCGCAAUGUCGUGGCCAGGCCGUAAAUCAGGGCCUAGAGCGGCCUAGACUACAAAUCCGCCACUGUGCAAACCGCAUGCGGGCAGUUUGCAAUCUUUUCGCAAAUGGUUCGCCACUGGCAUGCUAGCAUGCACCAGAUCUGAACGAACCCUUUAAAUGGUGCAUUACCUAAGAGCUUCUUAAUGACAAUGUGUGCUGGGAAAUUAUUCGAUAUCGCGAAGCAAAUUUUUUUUGAGGGAGCUUUUUAUACCUACUUGUUUAAUUUAACACACGGUAGGAUACAACUACAAUAACUAGAUACGUACUCAUUCAUAUGUCCGCUAUUAAAAUGGCCAUAUUAACAAGUGCCAUUAUAGUGGUCGUUCGAAUAAUCAAUGCGACGUAAUGAUACGUAAGUUCUUGUUAAUUUGGCCGUUUUGGUGAUAUACUAGAUUAAACUAGAUUUAAAGUACCUUUCCACAACGCUAACGGUUUUGGUAAAUCUCUAUGUCUAUCCUUGUAACCAGUAUUUAUUAAAUAUUAAACGACUGUGAUUUUUAUUAUA